GAUGAACGCUGGCGGCGUGCCUAAUACAUGCAAGUCGAGCGAACAGACGAGGAGCUUGCUCCUCUGACGUUAGCGGCGGACGGGUGAGUAACUCGUGGAUAACCUACCUAUAAGACUGGGAUAACUUCGGGAAACCGGAGCUAAUACUGGAUAAUAUAUUGAACCGCAUGGUUCAAUAGUGAAAGACGGUUUUGCUGUCACUUAUAGAUGGAUCCGCGCCGCAUUAGCUAGUUGGUAAGGUAACGGCUUACCAAGGCAACGAUGCGUAGCCGACCUGAGAGGGUGAUCGGCCACACUGGAACUGAGACACGGUCCAGACUCCUACGGGAGGCAGCAGUAGGGAAUCUUCCGCAAUGGGCGAAAGCCUGACGGAGCAACGCCGCGUGAGUGAUGAAGGUCUUCGGAUCGUAAAACUCUGUUAUUAGGGAAGAACAAAUGUGUAAGUAACUAUGCACGUCUUGACGGUACCUAAUCAGAAAGCCACGGCUAACUACGUG
rnacentral:rRNA from 1 species